rnacentral:rRNA from 1 species
CUUUUCUCAAGGUUGACCUCGGAUCAGGUAGGGAUACCCGCUGAACUUAAGCAUAUCAA